UACGUAGGGGGCAAGCGUUGUCCGGAAUCAUUGGGCGUAAAGAGCGUGUAGGCGGCUCGAUAAGUCUGCUGUGAAAGUCCAGGGCUCAACCCUGGAAGGCCGGUGGAAACUGUCGGGCUAGAGUCCGGAAGAGGCGAGUGGAAUUCCCGGUGUAGCGGUGAAAUGCGCAGAUAUCGGGAGGAACACCAAUGGCGAAGGCGGCUCUCUGGGCCCUACCUGACGCUGAGACGCGAAAGCGUGGGGAGCGAACAGG
rnacentral:rRNA from 1 species